AUUGAACGCUGGCGGCAUGCUUUACACAUGCAAGUCGAACGGUAACGGGUUAAGCUGACGAGUGGCGAACGGGUGAGUAAUGCAUCGGAACGUGCCCGAUCGUGGGGGAUAACGCAGCGAAAGCUGCGCUAAUACCGCAUACGAUCUGAGGAUGAAAGCGGGGGACCGUAAGGCCUCGCGCGAGCAGAGCGGCCGAUGUCAGAUUAGGUAGUUGGUGGGGUAAAGGCCCACCAAGCCGACGAUCUGUAGCUGGUCUGAGAGGACGACCAGCCACACUGGGACUGAGACACGGCCCAGACUCCUACGGGAGGCAGCAGUGGGGAAUUUUGGACAAUGGGCGAAAGCCUGAUCCAGCAAUGCCGCGUGCAGGAAGAAGGCCUUCGGGUUGUAAACUGCUUUUGUACGGAGCGAAAAGGUCCUUUCUAAUACAGGGGGCUCAUGACGGUACCGUAAGAAUAAGCACCGGCUAACUACGUGCCAGCCGCCGCGGUAA
rnacentral:rRNA from 1 species